UAAACGUCCCAGUUCGGAUUGUAGUCUGCAACCCGACUACAUGAAGCUGGAAUCGCUAGUAAUCGCGAAUCAGAAUGUCGCGGUGAAUACGUUCCCGGGUCUUGUACACACCGCCCGUCACACCAUGGGAGUCGGAAAUGCCCGAAGUCAGUGACCCAACCGCAAGGAGGGAGCUGCCGAAGGUGGAGCCGGUAACUGGGGUGAAGUCGUAACAAGGUACC
rnacentral:rRNA from 1 species